rnacentral:rRNA from 1 species
GACGAACGCUGGCGGCGUGCUUAACACAUGCAAGUCGUACGGUAAGGCCCUUUCGGGGGUACACGAGUGGCGAACGGGUGAGUAACACGUCAGUAACCUGCCCACAACUUUGGGAUAACGCUAGGAAACUGGUGCUAGUACUGGAUAUGUGCUACUGCUGCAUGGUGGGGGUUGGAAAGCUCCGGCGGUUGUGGAUGGACUCGCGGCCUAUCCGCUUGCUGGUGGGGUAGUGGCCUACCAAGGCGGCGACGGGUAGCCGGCCUGAGAGGGUGACCGGCCACAGUGAGACUGAGAUACGGCCCAGACUCCGACGGGAGGCAGCAGUGGGAAAUAUUGCACAAGGGGCGCAGGCCUGAUGCAGCAGCGCCGCGUGCGGGAUGACGGCGUUGGGGUUGGAAACCGCUUUCAGCAGGGACGAAGCUUUUUGUGACGGUACCUGCAGAAGAAGCACCGGCUAACUACGUG